UCUGUAUGUAUGUAUGGUCGAAGUAGGCAAAAUCUCACCUUUCUAGCAGAUCAACAAUGAAUUUUGUGGAAUAGAUGUUGGAUUUGUAAGGUUUUGGUGUUUGCAAGUGUUGAGAUGCGCAAGAUUUGAGUAAGAUUUUUCCUACUCCGCCCAUACCAUACAUACACC